AGUGAACGCUGGCGGUAGGCCUAACACAUGCAAGUCGAACGGCAGCACAGGAGAGCUUGCUCUCUGGGUGGCGAGUGGCGGACGGGUGAGGAAUACAUCGGAAUCUACUCUGUCGUGGGGGAUAACGUAGGGAAACUUACGCUAAUACCGCAUACGACCUACGGGUGAAAGCAGGGGACCUUCGGACCUUGCGCGAUCGAAUGAGCCGUGGUCGGAUGAGCUAGUUGGCGGGGUAAAGGCCCACCAAGGCGACGAUCCGUAGCUGGUCUGAGAGGAUGAUCAGACACACUGGAACUGAGACACGGUCCAGACUCCUACGGGAGGCAGCAGUGGGGAAUAUUGGACAAUGGGCGCAAGCCUGAUCCAGCCAUACCGCGUGGGUGAAGAAGGCCUUCGGGUUGUAAAGCCCUUUUGUUGGGAAAGAAAUCCAGCUGGCUAAUACCCGGUUGGGAUGACGGUACCCAAAGAAUAAGCACCGGCUAACUUCGUGCCAGCAGCCGCCGUAA
rnacentral:rRNA from 1 species